rnacentral:rRNA from 1 species
GGACUACUGGGGUAUCUAAUCCCGUUCGCUACCCUAGCUUUCGCGCCUCAGCGUCAGAAGAGAUCCAGCACGUCGCUUUCGCCACCGGCGUUCCUUCCGAUAUCAACGCAUUUCACCGCUCCACCGGAAGUUCCACAUGCCCCUACCUCCCUCAAGGCAUCCAGUAUCAAAGGCAGUUUUCCGGUUGAGCCGAAAGAUUUCACCCCUGACUUGGUUGCCCGCCUACGCGCCCUUUAAGCCCAGUGAUUCCGAACAACGUUUGCACGGUUCGUCUUACCGCGGCUGCUGGCAC